rnacentral:lncRNA from 1 species
UGUAACAAUGGUUAGGUGCAACACAACAGUCAACUGUAACAAUGGUUAGGUGCAACACAACAGUCAACUGUAACAAGGGUUAGCUGUAACACAACAGUCAACUGUAACAAUGGUUAGCUGCAACACAAAAGUCAACUGUAACAGUGGUUAGGUGCAACACAACAGUCAACUGUAACAAGGGUUAGCUGUAACACAACAGUCAACUGUAACAAUGGUUAGCUGUAACACAACAGUCAACUGUAACAAGGGUUAGGUGUAAUACAACAGUCAACUGUAACAAGGGUUAGGUGUAAUACAACAGUCAACUGUAACAAGGGUUAGGUGUAAUACAACAGUCAACUGAAACAAGGGUUAGGUGUAAUACAACAGUCAACUGUAACAAGGGUUAGG